UUUGACAGGACAGGGAAGCCACCCUGUCUGGAACCAAUGCUAAGGCUGGAUCUGAAGUUGAUCCUUUAAUUGAGAACAGUCCUGGCUCAGUUUCUCACCAUGUGCCCUCAAACUCCUGGAAACCGAGGCCACAGAAGACUUUCACUCCGUCAGAACCUCCUGUGUGGCCAGCUGUCUGUUUUCAAGAGCUGCAAGUAGCAGCAGCACUGGGGGGACUUAGGGGAUCUUCCCUACCCAGGAUUGAAUCCGCAUCUCUGUGUCUUCUGCACUGGCAGGCAGAUUCUUUGCUACUGAGCCACCUGGGAAGCCCAGACAAAUUCAUAGACACUCAGUAAGAGUGAGGCCUUGACUGCACAACUCAAGUGCACAGAUUGCACUGAGGACUGGAGCAGUCCCAACAGCUUCCAGCAGAGGGCAGUGUCGGAGCGGAUCUGCGUCUCUCUACGGGGCCCUCAGGGGUUCGCUGCCUCACCAAUAGGAAUCUUUAAAUUGCUCUGAAAUUAGCAAGGGCUUCCCUGGUCAAAUUCCAGUGAGGGGAGAGUCUGUCCAGUCAGAGGAAAGACCGGGAACAAAGCCUGUUGCAGAGUGUGCUGCCCAGUGGGAAAGAAAACAGGGCCAAGGAGAAAGUAUCCUUGUGGAGUCUGUGUGUUAUGACUGCACAGGCGGAGAGAACUGAUCAAAGUAAGCCAGGAGCACAGAGGGUUUUCUCCAAGGCAAGCGUCGAUGUCUGCUUAAGUCUGGUCCACACACUUGAGAUGAAAGCUCGAGUUUCACAGAGGAAAUGUUAUUUACUGGGCAAAACAACAGGCAGGAUGGAAACAUGCAGUCCCCAAACUUAUUCUUUCGAUUUCAUCAAUCAUUCAAGCCAUGUCUCCUUUUGGGGAAAAAGAAAGUCCACGUGCCAGAGACACAGCUGCCUUUAGAGAGGAAACCCAGGAAACAACAGACAGUGCUGCUGGGUAGUUCCCCCUUCCUCUCACCCCAGGCCCAUCUGGGCCAGCAAGUCUGGCUUCCAUUGUUCCUUUGUUUAAUACUAUCCGUGUGGGAUUAACAAUAUCAUUAUGAAACCAGAGGAGCACUGACAGUGAAAUCCACAGAUCUGCAUAAACAUAUUGGUCCACAGACAACUGGAAUCUGAGUCAGUCUCUCAGCUCCCGUGCUAAGCUCUCUUAGCUUGUCCCUCUUCAUUCACCUCCACCAUUUCCUGCCCUGCUUUGUGCUGAGGAAGCUGCCUAGGUGAAGCAAAGCCACAUGCUUCCCUGACAAUCAGUUUCUAGUUUGGAUGGACCACUGAGAAGUGCCUGUAAGAAGGGAGGACUGAGUAUUUCUUCCCCAGGCUCCCUCCCUGCCUGCAGUUAGCAGAGUCUUCAUUCCUCUGCAGCUUCUGAGUCAUCCUAUAGUUACAGAAAUAAAUAACCACUCUCUCUUCUUCCCUUUUUAUGACGUGGGAAGUUAGAGAUUUCUGGAGAGCGUGGCUACUUCACUGCCUUUAAUCCCUCUUACACCCUUGGAAAUAGUUCCUUCAUUAAUUUAUCUUCAGUUAUCCCUUCUGAGUGUACC
ensembl:lncRNA